AUCUAGCCGGCCGGGGCCCGAGUUGUAAUGAGCAGAGGAUGCUUUUGGCGAGGCGCCUUCCGAGUUCCCUGGAACGGGACGCCACAGAGGGUGAGAGCCCCGUCUGGUUGGAUGCCGAGCCUCUGUAAAGCUCCUUCGACGAGUCGAGUAGUUUGGGAAUGCUGCUCUAAAUGGGAGGUAUAUGUCUUCUAAAGCUAAAUAUUGGCCAGAGACCGAUAGCGCACAAGUAGAGUGAUCGAAAGAUGAAAAGCACUUUGAAAAGAGGGUUAAAUAGUACGUGAAAUUGUUGAAAGGGAAGCGCUCAUGACCAGACUUGGGCCCGGUGAAUCAUCCAGCGUUCUCGCUGGUGCACUUUGCCGGGCUCAGGCCAGCAUCAGUUCGCCCCGGGGGAGAAAGGCUCUGGGAAUGUGGCUCCUCCGGGAGUGUUAUAGCCCUCUGCGCAAUGCCCUGGGGCGGACUGAGGUCCGCG
rnacentral:rRNA from 1 species